UCCGCCUCCUCAUCUUCCUCCUCCAUCUUUCUCCGCAGCCGAACUCUCUUGUGGUGAUUCCUUAGAUUUCAUGAUGGCAUAGACGAUAGCAAGAUCGUGGACAUGCUUUCCACAGGCUUUCUUGAACUGUGAACUCUCCGUGGUCCUUUUUCGCUUCCUUGAUCCUUUCUUCCCGAGGAAGAACUCCAAGGAAGAAGAAGAGGAGGAGUAGGAGGAGGAGGAGGGGAUGGUGACCGCCGUUGAUAGUUCAAGAAAGCCCGUGGAAACCGUGACAGAUCUUUCCGAGUCUUGGUUGUAGGUUUUGUAUGAUUUCUUCCGCUCGCUGAAUUAGUGUGUUCUGUGUUGAUUGGGUGGGAAUCGUACUGGAACAACUGAUUACAUGUUUCACAUAUCCCAAUUGUGCGAUUGCCUGUUAUGAAUCGAUUGAAUUCUGAUUUAAGUAGUUCUUUUCCUCAUCUGGAAGAUGCUUUCUUUUGAGAUCUUGCCUUCUUUGAUAAGCAACUGGUCUUGUUUUUGUUGCAGAAUUGGAGAAUACGGAGCUAAAAGCCCCAGAAGCAUUGUAGGAUUCAGCAAGGCUGAGAUGAUGUGUGCACUAAAAGGUUGCCAGAAGUCAAACCAAGCCUCAUGCUGCUCCACUCCAACUAUUGACAUGUUCCAUGAAACAAGAAAUUAAAUCCAGGCAAUGGCAGUGUCUUUGAUGGCUUUGAAGAAGAAUAGCCGGAACACAAGGCAGAUGGAUCAAUUUAUUGUGGACUCAAUGCUUAUGGUGCAAAAUGCUAGUUUUUAUUUUGAGACAAAGGACCAGCGACCAUUCCAGCUCAGAGAUGAAAAGGCAGGACAGUAAGGAGUGCCAUCUCAGUUGUGGGAGGACUUGGUGGGGAUACUGUGGCACCAAGAGACAAGAUACAGCAAGACGGCACAAUUUCAUAGCUGAAAACCUCAACAUACAUAUACCAUUAUCUGUUCGUCUUUCGUGACAAAAACUUGGCUUCUAACUCGAACAAAGAUCCAUUGCUCACUAACAGCAGGUUUACAUUUUUGGCUCCAGGAGGAGGAAGAAGAGAGAUUAAUUAUUUUGGAUCAAUGACAUAUGAUAAAAUUAAUGGAUUGUGGAUUCGAUUCGAGAACGCCAUGUAUAGCGGAAUCUCGUGAACGGGGAUUGUAAUUAAAUCCACGGGAUGGCAGUGUCUUUGAUGGCUUUGAAGAAGAAUAGACAGAACACAAGGCAGAUGGAUCAAUUUAUUGUGGACUCAAUGCUUAUGGUGCAAAGUGCAAGUUUUUUGUUUUUGUGAGACAGAGGACCAGCGACCAUUCCAGCUCAGAGAUGAAAAUGCAGGACAGUAAGGAGUGCCAUCUCAAUCGUGGGAGGACAUGGUGGGGAUACUGUGGCACCAAGAGACAAGAUACAGCAAGAUGGCACAUUUCCAUAGCUGAAAACCUGAACAUACAUAUACAUGCAUUAUCUGUUCGUCUUUCCUGACUCAUACUUAGCUUCUAACUCGAACAAAGAUCCAUUGCUCACUAACAGCAGGUUUACAUUUUGGCUCCAGGAGGAGGACGAAGAGAGAUUAAUUGUUUUGGAUCAAUGACAUAUGAUCAAAUUAAUGGAUUCGAUUCGAGAAUCCCAUAUAUAUAGCGGAAUCUCGUGAACGGGGAUUGUAAUGGUGAUCCGAUGGUCCAAAGCCGGGACGAAUCGGUAAAAAGAUCCACCCUACUUGCGCCGGGUCGAUGGGCGAAUCGCUCGAAUAACGGCAUCCGCGUCUUGAUUUCCUUUCUCUUCCCUCGUUUGGUCAUCCCACUUGACAUCGGCCUCAACCUCACCUGAGAAGAUCGUGGCCGAGGAUAUAUGGAUUGGAGGAUCGGGCAUGGAAUAAGGUGCAAAGUUAGGGUUUGUACUCGUGUCUCACUGAUGACGCAAAUAUAUCGAUAAUUCUGGCUGGUUUAUUGCCCUUCCUAAAUCUUAUCCAAGGAACGUAGUAGAUCUUAAUAUUUCACUUUCUUUUAGUUGGCGAAAUCAGUUUUCCGGCUUCAAUGAUGGUAUUUCUUAUGCUCUUUCCUCCUUCCAAGUCUUCUUUUCAUUCAAAUAUUACAUGGCAAGCAUGUUUGAUGUUUAUACAACAACACUUUGCCUAAACUAAAAUACCUCUUUUAAGAGAUUUUCCGAAUCUUAAUGCGUUGACAAGAAUAAUUCAGGAUGCACAUGUUGUGACCUCAUUGAUAGCUGUGACCACCAUACCUGCAAGUGUUGAUACCCAGGGACACAUUAUUAUUAUUAUUAUUUCAAAUCAGGUCGACUGACUCUUGAAGUGUGCCCUGUCUACAGGUGAUUAUUCUGUAAAAGCUCGAUAACUAUUCUUGCAGUAUGAAGUGUAGAAUUUAAGUAGUCGGGAUCGAGUUGCUCUCUCGCAUAGCUGGUGGCGUGGGGCUUCAUCGGGCUUUUGAGAGGUGACAUCGACCUUGACAGUCGAUACUACCUUCCGUGCAUGACUCCUUGCUGCAUGUACAUUCACUUUGCAAGAUCACCCUUAAUUUCAUGUUGUAGAAUCUAAAAGAAACAUAUAAACAGAUUGAAAUUCUGAGAUCUCA